AUGAACAUAUCCAGCCCAGGGGGGACGCAGCGGGACCUUCCGGAGGCCGGCGGCCAGCCAGGCGCGCUCCACUCGCGCCCGGGCCGAGCCGAGGUGCCCGGGAACCGCUCGCCGAAGGAGGAAGCGCCGUCCGUCUGUCCUUCCCCGGCGGCGGCCGCGAGCGGAGCGCAGGAGCCCCGCACUCCAGACGCCGGGGAGGAGCAGGGGGCGGUGAUGGGAAGGGGAGCUGCGAGGCGAAGUGUUCUUCAGGGAAGCGGGCUCGAGUCUCCGCAGCGGCGGCGGCGGCGGCGCGCUGGGCUGGCGGCGGGCGCGGGCAGGGGGCCGGGGGUGCCGCGCGGUGGGAGCCUGGCUUGGACAGCCGAGGAGCAGGAAGUGGCCUCUGACCCGGGACACCGAGCAGGGCUCUCUUGCCUGGGUUCGCCUUUACAAAGUAACUCGCGAAGGUCCCCGGAGGGGCGUCAAGCGGCGACAGCGGCCCGCCCGCCCGCAGUCCGAAGCCCCCAGCCCUGCUGUCUUGCCUUCCCCCAUUCCAUCAGUUGCCAUUGCAACGCCAAUCCUGUUACACGAUACAGACUCGCAUCGCUGAACGGGGAGAGGAGGAAGAGGAGGAGGAGGAAGAGGAGGAGUGGGGCUAGGGGAACGGGGGUGGGGAAGAGGGAAGGGAGGAGAGGGAAGAAGGAGGAGGAAAGGGUCCAACAGGGAGCGGAGUGUGCGUCUGGAGCUCGCUUGGGCACACCAGCCACUGCCGCCGCCGCCACCGCCACUGGUCUCCAAAAUAGCCUUUAGCGCCCCGCCAGCGUAGAGGUGCUCUGGCCGGCCGCACCAAUUCCCGGAGCCGAAAGCAGAGUCCAGGCACCGCCACUUGCAAGAGAGGGAGAAUGCCAAGCAAAUACCCGAUCCGCACACGUCUACGCGUGCCCACCGGCACUGCGCGCGUCCUCUUCGCUUCCGCGCCGCCCCCGCCAGGUGGAGGGGAUGGGGGCGGUCGGGACAGGCGGGAGUUUAGAGGAGGGAGCCGCAGAAGGGGUUCCCCGCUUGAGCUAACGUAGUGGUGGCAUCCAGAGGUGAACGCGGGAGCGGCCGCCUGCGGAGGGCACCCGGCUGCGUGGCGUCCGCUCGGGCCGCUGCUGCGGCAGAGGUGCCCUGGCUGGGCUGCUGGGGGCCGGGGCUAGACGCCGGCCGGGAUCCCUGGGUGUGCGCGGAGAUGCGCGCCGCGGAGGCGAAAGGAGGGAGGAGGAAAAGGAGAAGGAGGAAGAGGAGGAGGGCGAAGCGGCGAGCGCGGAGCGCAGGCGGACCGGCUGCCGGGCUGCCGGGCUGCUGGGCUGCCGGGGAGGAAGGCUGUGUGUGGUCACGUUGUGCGCUACGUGCUGAGAGCGCGAGCUGCUAGCCGCAGCCGGGCGACGUCAAAGCCGGGUGCGCGGCUCUGCCGCCUGCCUCCGCGCCUCCUCUGCCCCUCCUUUGCUCUGCCUUCCUGUGUCAGCCCAGCUCAUCAGUAUGGACAACGCCGAAAGGCUCCGCGAGGCCGGCGGCAUCAGGCCUCCAACCUCCCCCGCCGAAGGGCUCCCUCGCCUCUUGGGGAGCUCCGCGGCGGCUAGUGCCGGUUAUGUAUUUCUGAUGCCGCCGUCUGCGUUUGCACGCCGAAGGGCCAGCUACCCACCUUACACCCGGGGUAAUUACAUGACACGCUAUCUCCUCUCCGCCGCCCAAGGUCUUCCAGGAUCCGUUAUGCUUGACUAGAGGGCAGAACAGGCCACAGCAUUUGGAAGUGGCAACGUUUCUUCUCUAUUUCUGUCUUCUUUAAAGGAAGUAUGGUCAUCACAGUAGAUGAAGGCUCUGGGGGAAGGCACACUAGGAGUUCAGAGAUUAGUUUAUUUUAUAUGCAGUGUCUCCUACUAAAGUUAACUGCUUGGAAAAUCUUUUCCUUGUGUGAAAGACAGGCUCUUUUGUUGGGGCAGAGGUAGCUGUAAUGUUUAAGGGGUUUUAAAAACUUACAGGUACAAAAGGAUUAGAAAAUCUAAAGCAUCUUUAAUUUACAUUGCAACAAGUGUGGAAAUACUCCGCUAAAAAUUAAUAGGGAACAUCUGGGAAUAUAGUAGUGGUUGAUUUUUUUCUGUAACCAAGAUAAUAAUGUUUCCUGUAUGCAGUCCACUUUGUUGAAAAUAUUCUUCACUAUUCAAACAGCAUAUGGGUAGGAAGUGAUUGGAAUGGUUUAAAACGCGCAUUUGUACAUGUGUUACAAAAGUAAUUGCUAUGGGAAAUCUGGAGCACAGUAUUCAUUUAUCUGCUCCCAUAAUAGACUAGUAGAAGACACUGCAGGUCCCUCUCCCCAUGCUGUACUUCUGCUGGGGGCAGGGGACCCUAAGCACUAGAAAAUGCUUAGUCCCUAGUCUUUCCCCCAAGGUCCUUUUCCUCACUUAAAUGAAUGGUGCAUAUUAUUUUUUAUAGAGUGCGAUUUGGUGCUUACCCUCUGGGUUUACAAGAUAUGAGAAACCAAACAUUUUGAGAGGGUCCCCCAGAGGAUCAUUCACACAGUGUUGAGAACCCGUUAUUUAUGAAAUUCCACUUUCACUCGAUGGUAUUAAGCGUCAUGCUAUAAAUAAACUCAGUGUGUGCGAUUUCUGAAGAAAAAUGAGUGAUGCUCACUUACUGGUCACCUGUGGCAUAAAAAUUGUCUCAUUAUUUUAGAAAUCUGCCUUUUGUGGGUAGAUCAUUCCUGUACACUUGCAGCACAGUAGCUUCAUGGGGCAAUAAACUGCACCUCCUUUCUCAGAUCAAAGCUCAUAAUGUAUCUUGUCCAUGAGGCUCUUCCUGAUUUCAGCUUAUCAUGUUCUGAAGUAGUACUUCACCCCCAUAUUUGUACUGUACUUUUAAACAUGUAGUUAUGGAAUCAUAGGAUCUUUGAGUGUGUGAAGAACUAUAGAUUGGGAUACUUUGUCAUCCCCAAACGUCAGUGUAUCAUUUUAGGAGAGCCCAGACUGAGUAUGGAGAUUACUCUUCUUAACCUUCAACAUUUGAACAGAGCCUUAGGAGCCCAGGACCUUUCUUUUCCAUAUAAUGCUCAUCUCUGCAGAGGAAGGAACAUGCACCCAGUGAGCCCUCAGCAAUGCCUGAGUGAAAUCUUUGGAACUUGGAGAGAACUUAGAGAACCCAGUCAAUUUACAAUUCCAGUUGUAGUUUAAAUUAAAAAUGAGGAAAUAGCUAGAUGCAGCUACUCUUUGCUGGGCCUUAUCCUAGACUGUUGUACACUUAAAGAUUUUAUAAGACAUAUUUCCUUCCUUCAAGAAGCACACAAUCUAGUGAACAGAGUGCAUUGGUCAACAUAUGCACCAUUACUUCUACUGACACUGUAAGUGCUGCAAAUAAACGAAGUCCUAGGGCACAAAGUGGCAAAUUUUACAUGCAAUCAUUAAAUGGCUUAUAUAACAGUUUUUUUAAUGCACUGGAUUUAAUAUGGGUUUUCAGUUCCUGUGAAAAUGCUUCAUAGAUUACUUAUGGAAAUAAUUGCCAAUUCAAUCAAAUGACAUUUUUUUGCUUCUUGAAAUUCAACAUUCUUCAGGCUGCACUGACCAGCCAGACAUAAUAUAUAUAACCACACCUUAGCACUGGCUAAUGAAGGCCUCCAGGUGGUGAGCCUGAGCUGAAGCUUAAGGACAGGCAAGAGAUGCUUUAUCAGAGAGAAGGGAAAAGCUAUAGAAGGCAGGCCCAGAGACUACUAUGAAAUCUGGCCCAGCAAACUUUAUAUCGCCCAUUAGAACAGUUUUCUAUAGGAGUAGUGUAAAUAAUUUCAGAGAUCACCAGUUUCUUGGAUUUUUCACAGUGAAUAUGGAUGUUGCAUAGAGCAUAAAAAUCCCACAUAAACUGUCAUCAUAACCUGUUAUCAUUUUAUUGACUAUAAUUUUAUUUAAAAUUUCUGUCUCCAUUCUCCAAUAUGAGCUUGAUGUUCCAACCUCCAUAGCUUGGAGGAGGCAUUGUCAUGGAAAGAGUCACAGGUUGGCACAAGACCCAACCAAGGUAGUGGGACAGAAGUAAGAAAAACUGCUGUCUCCAGAGAUGCAGUUGAGUGAGGCAAAUUCAGAACAAUGGGGACAAAUCUGUCUUUCCAAUUUAGCCUCUUCCCAGAACACAAAUCUCAGGCCCUGUUUGUUGUUUACAUCAACUUCCAUUUUCCCUGCCGGCCCUUUAAGUCACACAAACUCCCAUAGACACUAUUGCCAAACAAGAAUGUGAAAAUCCUCAGUGGUGAUGGUAAAUUAUUUCUAGCCAAAUCCCUGUUCACCUGUUUCUUUCUACUUAGCAAUAGCUUCCAGCAUGCAAGCUUAGAAGUCUAAGAAGCAUCACAUAGAACUGGCUGUUUCAGAUGAUAGUAAAGCCAUGAGGCGCAGAACAGCAUUGGAGAUUCCAGGUGCUGGUUAUUUCAGGCAGAUAGGGGGCAGUUGCUCCUAAGCAGUGGGACCCAGAUACUGCUGUUAGGUAUGAGACAAUGAUUUCAUUUAGGGAAACAGAAUUAUCUCUCAAGAGGGCUUUAGUGAGAACAAAAA
rnacentral:lncRNA from 1 species